rnacentral:rRNA from 1 species
UAGGGAAUAUUGCGCAAUGGAGGAAACUCUGACGCAGCGACGCCGCGUGGGUGACGAAGGUCUUCGGAUCGUAAAGCCCUGUCGGCAGGGACGAAAAACGGAAUGGCUAAUAUCCAUACCGCUUGACGGUACCUGCAGAGGAAGCACCGGCUAACUACGUGCCAGCAGCCGCGGUAAUACGUAGGGUGCUAGCGUUGUUCGGAAUUAUUGGGCGUAAAGCGCGUGUAGGUGGUUUGUUAAGUCGGAUGUGAAAUCCCUGGGCUCAACCGAGGAAGUGCAUUCGAAACUACCAAGCUAGAAGACGGCAGAGGAUGGUGGAAUUCCUAGUGUAGAGGUGAAAUUCGUAGAUAUUAGGAGGAAUACCGGCGGCGAAGGCGGCCAUCUGGGCCGUUCUUGACACUGAGACGCGAAAGCGUGGGUAGCAAACAGGAUUAGAUACCCAUGUAGUCCCUGAGCGGGCUGGCAAGGCGCAU